AUUGAACGCUGGCGGCAGGCCUAACACAUGCAAGUCGAGCGAGCGGCGGACGGGUGAGUAAUGUAUGGGGAACUGCCUGAUGGAGGGGGAUAACUACUGGAAACGGUGGCUAAUACCGCAUACUAUCGGAUGAACCCAUAUGGGAUUAGCUAGUAGGUGGGGUAAUGGCUCACCUAGGCGACGAUCCCUAGCUGGUCUGAGAGGAUGACCAGCCACACUGGGACUGAGACACGGUCCAGACUCCUACGGGAGGGAGCAGUGGGGAAUAUUGCACAAUGGGCGCAAGCCUGAUGCAGCCAUGCCGCGUGUAUGAAGAAGGCCUUAGGGUUGUAAAGCACUUUCAGCGGGGAGGCGUUACCCGCAGAAGAAGCACCGGCUAACUCCGUGCCAGCAGCCGCGGUAAUUC
rnacentral:rRNA from 1 species